rnacentral:misc_RNA from 1 species
GAUGAAGAACGUAGCGAAAUGCGAUAAGUAGUGUGAAUUGCAGAAUUCCGUGAAUCAUCGAAUCUUUGAACGCACAUUGCGCCUUCUGGUAUUCCGGAAGGCAUGCCUGUUCGAGAGUCAUUAACAACCGUUUCGAUCCCUUUCUUUCAGAAAUUACAAAGAGGAAAAGGGUUUGGUUAUGGUGGAGGAGGGAAAGGGAGCGUUUAGCCUGUAAAAAAAGAGGCUGUGUUCCGCCUCCCCCCCAAAAUUGUACAGGCGGUCGUGUGCGCCCACGCAUCGUGGUGUUGUAAAAGCUGCCACGGCACUUUUCACCUGUGCAGUGCGAGAUUGGCCAGCCGGUUUAAAAACCCCUCCAAACAAUCAAAGGUUGACCUCGGAUCAGGUAGGGAUACCCGCUGAACUUAAGCAUAUCAAUAAGCGGAGGA